CCAUAUAUUUUGGGUGCGCUUCAAAAAUGUUUUCUAAUGUAAGAGCGCCAAAUACCCAUACACUUAGUAAAUUUUUUGUUUCAUUUUCAUCGUACCCUGCACACCCGCGCUUCACCAUUCACCGCUUCACCCUACAUCGGAGAAGAAAGGGUUUUGCCACUUCAUCCUUCACCACUCACCUUCGCCCUUCUCCAUUCCCCGUCACCCCUCUUCUCCACCACCACUUCACCUUCGCUUACUACUCACCGCAUCUUCAUUGUCUUUGUGCUCACCGUCGCCGCUCACCCGCGUCGUAUCUGCGCACACCGUCACCGCUCAACCUUGUCGUCUCUGUUCUCAUAGUUGCCUCUCACCCUCGUCGUCUCUGUUCUCACCGUCACCGCGCUGUCACCAUCGUGGUCUCUACGCUCAUCAUCGUCGUCUCUGCGCUCACCAUCGUCGAGAAGAAAUGAAGAACUAACUUCAAAUAUGGUGGCUUGAUGCGGCUGAUUGUGCUGAUUUUAGGUCAGGAUCCAAAGAACUCAAGUUCUUGAGUUAUCCUAUACUUUGUGAUAUUCUCAUUGAGGAAGACCAGAAUGUUUGGCAAAUGGCGUGAACCUUAUUUAACAUUUUAAAUGGAAAUCCAGUUCCUCAAAAAUGAUCUUAUUUUGAUCAUGGUGAAUAUUAUCAUCUUUGCAAACUAAUUGCUCUUAGUAGUUGACCCUUGACAUUCAUUUCAGUUGGAUUUGAAGGAUGCUGAGAAGCUUGUUGACCUGCAAAGUAAAAAAUCCAUACAUUUUAAAGGCCAAUUCACUUUUUCUGGUAAGAGUUUCAUGAAUUGGUUGAUCUCCCUUAUAGAAUCAAUUGCCUUUAAGUUCUAAGAAUUAUUGGAGCCUUGUUAAAAGCAAAGCCAACAACAAGACAAAAUGGAUCAUUCUUCAUAUUAUAAUUCUUAUUUUGUUUUCCCUUUUAUAAUAGAUUUUUGUUUGCCUGAUCUAUUCUCUAUUCUUUCUAAGCUGUAUUGUCUUCACUUUUUGUCUAUUUUGUGGGUUAUGGCUAAUUUUGUUCGCUUAAUUUCCUUAGGUUAUGGGAAGAAUAACUGAAGAUGGGAACAGAAACAACUUAUCCAAUUCAUGAAGACAAAAAAAGAGUGACAAUUCUUAUGGAUUUAGGCAGCAAAAAUAUUAGAAGGUUCCCUACAAUGUAAUCCGCGGGCCACUAGCUGAUGAGAUUCAUCAAGAGUUUAGCUCUUGGAUUUACCAGGUUAUUAGGCUUUACAAAAACAAAGACCAUGCUGGUGUUGAAUACACUUUUUAUGAAGGUUGGUCCAAUUCUAACUGAUAAUGGAGUUGAAAAAGAGGCGAUCACUCAAAAAACAGCAAAUAUGACUACAAACAAGGAUUUUUAUACUGAUUCUAAUGGAAGAGAUUUUUUAAAAAGGGUUUAUGAUCACAAGAAAGAUUGGCCCUUUCAAGUUACUCAACCUGUGGCAGGAAACUAUUAUCCAAUAAAAUUUCUUCACUCUCUUAGGCUUUUAAUAGUUUUUGAGCUUCUAUGAUAUUAUGGUUAAGUUUGUUAACAAUGUUAAACUUUUUUUAUAGCUUAAUCUUGGAAUUUAUAUUAAAGAUUAGAAAUCUGAACUCUCUGUCUUAGUUGAUCAUGCCACUGGUGGAGCGAGCAUUAUAGAUGGAGAGAUGGAACUAAUGUUUCACAGUAUAUAUAAACAUGCUAUUUCUUUCAAGUUCAAGAUUGUUUUACUGUGAACAGUUACAAACUGCUAAUGGUCAAUGCUUAAUG